CAAGGUUUUGUCUCUUUGACUUCAAUUGUGUUUGACUCUUGCUUUUGGAAUCCAGAUAUGAUGGCAUAAGGGAGUGUCCAAGAAACCCAUGGAGAGGCCCACAAAAGAGAACUGAGGAUCAUUGCCCAGGGUCCUGGUCUAUCUCUAGCAAAUAGCGAGCACAACUGGCUAGAAUGUGAGUGGACCGUUGUGAAAGUGGAUCUUCCUGCCCCAGAAAUUCAGUGUCCAGAUGUUUCAGAAUCCAGAUGGCCUGUGAAUCCUCUAUCACCCAGAAAGGAGGAAAAUAUGCAUGAAAGUGGAACACUGAAAAGAAAAAAAAAUAAUUUAGUGUUGGCAAUGUAAUGGUGACAUACAGGGCUC